GCAUCCCUCCCUGCUCUUCUGUCGGAGCCCGCGGCGGGGGAGGGGCGCCGCCGCCGCCGCCUGAGGGAAGCCGGCAUCUGGGCUUCUGCGCGCCUCGCCCCGCGGCCGGGCCCAUGGCACUGUGAGCCUGCAAGGGAGCCCCGCUCGGCGCGGGGAGCGCCCGGCCCCCUCCCGCCCCAUGCGCCCGCGGCUCUGAAGCCUGAGCGGGGGCCGGGGGCCGGGCGGGGCCGGGGCCGGGGCCGAGGCCGCCGGAGGCAUGGCGUCCGGGAGCCGGUGGCGGCCGACACCGCCGCCGCUGCUGUUGCUGCUGCUGCUGGCGCUGGCGGCGCGCGCGGACGGCCUGGAGUUCGGCGGCGGCCCGGGGCAGUGGGCUCGCUACGCGCGCUGGGCGGGCGCGGCGAGCAGCGGCGAGCUCAGCUUCAGCCUGCGCACCAACGCCACGCGCGCGCUGCUGCUCUACCUGGACGACGGCGGCGACUGCGACUUCCUGGAGCUGCUGCUGGUGGACGGCCGCCUGCGGCUGCGCUUCACGCUUUCGUGCGCCGAGCCGGCCACGCUGCAGCUGGACACGCCGGUGGCCGACGACCGCUGGCACAUGGUGCUGCUGACCCGCGACGCGCGCCGCACGGCGCUGGCGGUGGACGGCGAGGCCCGCGCCGCCGAGGUGCGCUCCAAGCGGCGCGAGAUGCAGGUGGCCAGCGACCUGUUCGUGGGCGGCAUCCCGCCCGACGUGCGCCUCUCGGCGCUUACGCUGAGCACCGUCAAGUACGAGCCGCCCUUCCGCGGCCUCUUGGCCAACCUGAAGCUGGGCGAGCGGCCCCCCGCGCUGCUGGGCAGCCAGGGCCUGCGCGGCGCCACCGCCGACCCGCUGUGCGCGCCCGCGCGCAACCCCUGCGCCAACGGCGGCCUCUGCACCGUGCUGGCCCCCGGCGAGGUGGGCUGCGACUGCAGCCACACGGGCUUCGGCGGCAAGUUCUGCAGCGAAGAGGAGCACCCCAUGGAAGGCAAGGAGGAGUUUGUGGCGACCUUCAAAGGCAAUGAGUUCUUCUGCUACGACCUGUCACACAACCCCAUCCAGAGCAGCACUGAUGAGAUCACACUGGCCUUCCGCACCCUGCAACGCAACGGCCUGAUGCUGCAUACAGGCAAGUCGGCCGAUUACGUCAACCUGUCCCUCAAGUCUGGGGCUGUCUGGCUGGUCAUCAACCUAGGCUCAGGUGCCUUCGAGGCCCUUGUGGAACCCGUCAAUGGCAAGUUCAACGACAACGCCUGGCACGACGUCCGGGUCACCCGAAACCUGCGCCAGCACGCAGGGAUUGGACACGCUAUGGUAAACAAACUGCAUUAUCUGGUAGAUAUCACUCUAAUUGUCUUACCGUUUGGUUUGCCGUGGGUUUUUUUAACUGUUCGAUUCUCCCUCUUUUGUUUCCUCUCCCUGUUUGGUUUUUUGGUUGUUUUGCUCUUCCAAUUGUUUUUUGCGUCCUGGACAAUCUUUAGAUUUUGCUUCUCUUUUAGUUUCCCUCUUUCCCUUUUCUUUCUUUUUUGGUCCAAACUGAAAUACAAAAGACAAAUGGAAAUCGAGGAAUUUGGCUUGUCCCUGCUGUAAUCCCUAACUCCUGAAUUCAGAUUCCUGGCCAGAGAGACCUGGGGGCAGGCCCCAUGUUCAUCGGCUCUGGUUAGACCAGCCCCGAUGCCAGGCUGCUUAUUUCUAUUGCUUUAUUUUGUUCUUUUCCCUCCCCUCCCUUGUUUUUUCUCUUUGAUUUAGUUUCUUGGUCUCCUGAAAAUCCAUGGAAAACACCAUCCCAUGACAUGCUAUGCUCUGCUCACUGUCAGCUCCCUGGACAGGGCCGCUCAAGUUUGAGGAGGGGUCUGGGGGUGAGACCUCCAGUGGCAGCCAGUGGGGUGGGUUCCCAGGGGUGGAGGGCAUGGCCUUGGGAGAUGCGGAGCUGCCUGAGAUCAGUCCAGACCUCAUGCAAAUCAUCAGUUCAUAGCAGUUUGGGGGCUGCCCCAUGCUGGCUGGUCUGGGAAAGGUGCCAUCCCCUCCCUCACUUCUCAGCCUUGAGGGUUCCUGGUUCCAUGUCCCCCACAUUUUGCAUGGCAUGAAUGGUCUUUUCCCCUGACCAGGGAUAGCGUCCAGUUCCCCCAACUGCUCCGCUGCUCUGACUAACACUGUGUUUCACACUGUCUUCCUUCCCGUCACCCCCUGCCCUCUCUGCCCGCUGCCUGCCCCGCAUGGCCUCUGACAGGGGCUGGUUUCCUUCCCUGUUGAGGGGAGCCAGAGGAGGAGGCCUGCAGGGGUGGGAAGGGGCAGCAUUGGUUGUCCUUGUCACCAAGCUCCUCUGUUUGGGUUGGGCUCAGUCCUGGUGAGUGUUGGUGUGGGUGUCUGUGUAAAUGCAGCUGGUGUGUGUUGGUGUGUGGGUGUGACUGUGUGUAAAUGUUGGCGUGACAUUUCGGGGUGUUAGUGGGAAGCUGUACUGUGUGUGCGAGGCUCUGCUGGUGACUCUCCACGUGUGAGCUGGUGUGAGCUGGGGGCUGCGUGACUAUGUGGGUUUUUGAGCCUGGUGAGGACUCUGUGUGGAGGUGGACUGUGGAGACUGGCCCUUCAGUCGCAGUGCCAUGGCAGUCAGGAACAGGGAAGGAGCUGGGGCUAGCCCUUUGCUCCUUGCCUUGCCUCAGAGUGUGUGUGCGCAGGCCCUGCUGCGUGUGAUCCCCUGGGAUUCCCUCGUGCCUGCCCAGUCCUGGCUCUGCAGCAGCAGCCGGUUAGUCAUCGCCUAUUAAUAAUGCAGAGUGAUUGAACACCAGGCUGGGGACCCUGCAGAUGGACGUGUCUGCUCCCGUGGGGCCGGCGCUGCUUGGGGCAGCUGCCUGGCCUGCCCAGCCUCCCAGGUUUGUAUGGCUGGCUGGUGAGGAGGGAAGCGUGACAGUUGGGGCUCCCAAUCUGAGUGUCUCUCCCACUUCCCUAGGAGGCUCUACCUCUGAGGCUACAUCUGGCUUUUCCUGAUACUUUUUACAGAUCCAUGUUUUCCUGCACCCAUAUAGACUAGUGCCCAUGGCCAAAGCCAUUCCAGCCCUCCCCAAUUUAAGACCUCAGGUGGCCACUCCCAGUGGUCUUGGUGUUCCAAUGGGGCAUACAGUGCCAGGUUUCUUGUUCCUCCAGCUGCUGCUUCUAGGAGUUAGCUGCUAC
rnacentral:sRNA from 1 species